rnacentral:rRNA from 1 species
UACGUAGGGGGCAAGCGUUGUCCGGAUUUAUUGGGCGUAAAGAGCGUGUAGGCGGCCAAGCAGGUCCGCUGUGAAAACUCGAGGCUCAACCUCGAGACGCCGAUGGAAACCAUCUGGCUAGAGUCCGGAAGAGGAGAGUGGAAUUCCUGGUGUAGCGGUGAAAUGCGCAGAUAUCAGGAAGAACACCCGUGGCUAAGGCGGCUCUCUAGUACGGUACUGACGCUGAGACGCGAAAGCGUGGGGAGCGAACAGG